rnacentral:sRNA from 1 species
UUUGGGUAGUGUGGGAGACUGGAGAAUAGAAAAGAUGGAGGCUGCAAAUGGGGAUAGAAUGAGGAGUCGCAUCUAGGCGGCAGUGAGGAACAGUGUCAGAGGACUGGUCUGUCAUAAUUCCAGCGUCCCACCCAUGUACAUGGGUUUCUUUUCCCCCACAGUAUUUGGAAGUGGGGUUGGUGGGUGACUCCAUGUAACUUUCAUACUCCAUCCCCCUGAAGUGGAAGGGGCAGGAAUACCACUGCUCCUCGGCCCAUCACUCCCCCAGAGGCAGGGUCGUGAACAUGUUCGUCAUUCUUGCUGCCCCUGCCUGUGCUCCCUUCCAUGACCGCUAGUGGGAGCCAAGGGAGAUAAGGCCCAGCCCUUAGGAGCUAGGGCUGAGAGGGGAGCCCACGCUCUCAUACCCAGCAAGCUGCAGAGUGAUCAGACAGCCCAUUCCCUAGGAUCGCAAGUCCUACAGCUGGAAACAGCGGCUCUUCAUCAUCAACUUCAUCUCCUUCUUCUCGGCACUGGCUGUCUACUUUCGGCACAACAUGUAUUGUGAGGCUGGAGUGUACACCAUCUUUGCCAUCCUGGAGUACACUGUUGUCUUAACCAACAUGGCGUUCCACAUGACGGCCUGGUGGGACUUCGGGAACAAGGAGCUGCUCAUAACCUCUCAGCCUGAGGAAAAGCGAUUCUGAACCCUUCAGUCCUGCUUGGGAGGAGGCAGCCCACUGCCCAGAAACAAGAAACAAGAUACCAUUCUGGCCUUCCCCACCCCACAUCCUCUCUUGGCCUUACUGAAGAUGGGGGAAGGGUAAGAAGGAAGGGUGUAGGCCAAGGCUCACCCCAGUGCUGCUGGGUUCUCCUCUCCACCCCUCAUAUGGGCGUGGGGUCCUCAAACAACAUCACCUUUACCUGAGAGGCCCCAAGAAGCUGAGCUGGCAGAGAGCUCCACCAUUUGGUGCUAAAAAAAAAGUCCUGAGGUUCAUGACCACCAUCCAGUUUCUGGCCUUUACAUAGUCACCUUUCACUGAAGUCAGAAGCCCCUGAGCAGUGACUGCUCCCUGACAACCACAGCCAUUUGUCUGCACGGGGUCAUUCAUAGGACUAAUGA